CACCACUGUCAGGCCUGACCUCAGGUGUUUUGUUAUAGUCCUUUAAUGCUGACCCACACAGGUAUGUGUGUGUGCUUCUAUGUGCCUCUAUCACGAACGACACUGUGUUUGGGGCCAGGGCGAUGAAUAAAUGCUCGUGUGUGUGCAAACUUGAGGGCCUGGGUUCGCACCCAGAUAAAACCAAGCAAAAUGGUAAAAUAUCCUGGCCUGAGAGACAGCGUACUUAUUUCCUCAGAUGUGAUGGUAUCUGCCCUGUGGCUUUCUGGGUGAAAGGGCAUGCGAGUUUGUGGUUUUGGAGACGUUGCUGAGUUGCUGAUAGGAGCAGCUAGUGUUGACAAAGCAAGCAAGGCCCUGGUUUCUACUCAGGUGCUCAAAGUUGGCACAAAAGGACUUUUCUCAAAUUUUUAAGGUUUCAGAUGCUGAUCUUUCCCCAAAAAGGUACAGGGGUUGAAAGAUACAGGAAAGAGAAAGAGAGGGAGGCAUGGGGAGAAAAGGUGGUGGCAGAAAUGGAGGGGGAAAGAGAAGGAGAAAAGACCAAGAACCUAGGAGUCACCGGUGACUCAUGGCUAUGAUCCUAGCACCCAGGGACUGAGACGGGAGGGGCCUGUGAAGUGGAUUCCAGUAGACUCAUUGCAUCUAGGCCAAACAUUAGAAUAAAAUAGUUCUUUUCCUUCUUUUUUUUUGAAAGUGUGAAGAGACAUUUAUUCAAGACUUCUGUAUUUCUCACAAUGCUUUAAACGUCUAAUAAAAUCCCGUCUAGCUUUCACAUGCUUAAAAUAGCUGUUUUCUAAAAGUACUUAGACCUUGAGGAAAUCAUGGUGGAAAACUGAUUGUUCUCUGUUAUUUAUAGAGUUGUUUUCCUGAAGGAGCUAGACAGCCUUGCCUUGACUUUAGUCACAAAAACGGGCUGGCAAGCCUGGAAUGUCUUGCACUAUUGGGUACUGCAAACAGUGCACAAGGUUUCAGGGGUGGUGGUUUUGGUGUGCGUGACGUUUUCCUUCAGAAAACAUGAAUCAGAUCAGGGCUUUUGUAUGAGGAACUUGUUCCCAAAAAGCAACUUUUGUGCAACAUCAAUACAUGUGCUUCUGCAUGGCUGUUGGAGUUCAUUGAGGCUGACAUCCCAGCUGACUCAGAGCCUGGGUUACGACCUGGAGUGACCCCUUUCUCAGAACACUGACAUGCCUGGACGAUGGUCCUUCAAGGGAUGUUCCUGUAUGUGGCAGUCGGGGCUCAAGCCAGUUUAACUUCUCAACAGAGUCUACUUAACUCCCCAUGGAGCAGACCAGAUCUUGCCAUUCAUCCAUUCCUGCUUCCGGACCAGGUUCCUGCCUUGACUUCCGUUUUCGAUGGAUGGACCAUUACCCAGAAGCCUAAGAUAAAAUACACCUUCUCCGUCCCUUCUCCGUCCCGAGUUGCCUCCGGUCAUUGUGUUUUACCACAAUAGAAACCCGACUUCCACACCUGACUUUAAACCUCCAUUCUUUAUAAGUUAUCCAGUCUCAGGGAGUCUGUGAUAGCAAGAAAAAACAGUCUGACACAGGUUACUAAUGACUGUGCCAGAAAUGCCCUGUUGGGCCCUGCCGGGGGUUGUGAGUCUGAUUUCUGAGAACUGGGCUGCACUCACACUUGACUUGGUUGUGCUCUGUUGAAAUCCCGUGGGGCUUGCUGUUGUCCUGAACCUCAGUGCCUUGAGUUGGCGCAUUCCUGAUGACCAAGCUGCCAUCGGUGCGCUGUAUGUCUUGGCUGGUGUGAGGAUGUCCCAGAAGGCCCUAGGGAGAGAUCGUGGCUGGUGGCUGGGCUCCCGGCUCUCAGAAUCAAGAAGUGCUGAGAACUCCAUCUGGGGACAGGCAGGUGGGUGCCCGCUCCUUCCCUCCUUCUGUCUGCAUCUACUUAAAGGCAAUUGUGCAGGUGCAGGAGGUGAGCAGGCUACCUUCAAGGAGGCAGGAAGGAGGAGGGGACAGCAAGGAACAAGUGGGACCACAAGUGACAUGCUACCUACAAGUGUUACCUGCCCACAAAGGAACCCAAUGGUGCACGGGCUGGAGAAAGUGGUGCUGUUUUGGAGAGGCUAUGGAACCCUAGGACAGACAUUUUAUGUGUAUUUAUUUAUUUUCGGUUUUUCGAGACAGGGUUUCUCUGUGUAACAGCUCUGGCUAUCCUGAAACUCGCUCUGUAGACCAGGCUGGCCUUGAACUCACAGAGAUCCUCCUGUCUCUGCCUCCCGAGUGCUGGGAUUAAAGACAUGUGUCACCACCUCCCAGCUAAGGACAGCGGUCCUAACCCUGUGGGUUGCGACCCUCUGGGAGUCAAAUGACCCUUUCGCAGGGGUCGUGUAUCUGAUAUUUACAUAUUAUGAUUCAUCGCAGUAGCAAAAUUACAGUUAUGAAGCAGCAACGAAAAUAAUUUUGUGCUUGGGGGUCACCACAACACUGGGAACUGUAUUAAAGGGUUGCAGUGUUGGAAGGUUGAGAACCCCUGCUUUAGGACAGACACCCUUGCUGAAGGAAGUACGUCACCGUGGGCAGGUCUUGAGUGUUCAUAACCUUGCCAUACUUCCUGUUCUCCCCUUUCUGCCUAGGGUUGGCCUGUCCAACCAGCUCCCUGAUGGUGUAGCCACGAAUCCCUGACUGGUUGCCAUUCCUUCCCGACUGAAUUCCAUCCCCUCGGCACUCAAACCAAAAUAAAC
rnacentral:lncRNA from 1 species